UAGUAGCUUUGGAAAACUGUUUGGAAAACUGCUCCGCUCCGCUCAGCUCAGCUCUCCAGCGCCAGCGUGUCCCGUUAUCGAAGUUGUUGCCGUUGCCGUUGCCGCAGUCCAGUUUUUCAUCGUCCUCUUCUUCUUCUGAUUCAGCCAUUUUCCAAGCUCUCUCGCCGCGCCGCUCUCGCACCCACACAAACAGAGACAGAAACAGUAACAGAAACAGAGGAGCCACAGCUGAGCGAGCGCUGAGUGAAAAUUUUUUAGUACGCUUCACACGAACUUCUGAAAAAAACCGCAGUCGAAACGCGGCCGCCAAACACAGCACAUCGGCGCACAUAAAGGGCAGAAAGAAGAUGAAGAAGUAGAUCCAGAAAAUCGGAAAACCAGAACAGAAUACUUCUACAAACGAAACGCAGCCAUCAGCACUUGAAACUCCGCCAUAUGUAGCAAAGCAAAGAAAAGAUAAAUACGAAAUUAAAAUCUCUGUCCAAACAACAAGAACGUCUUGAAUUAAAUCAAAACCAUGUGCUGUGCUUAAAUUUAUUAAGGAAACCAGACAGAGCGAGAUAGAAAAGGGAAGCUAAACCCACAGAAGCGAAAGAAGGAAAAAGCGAGAGAGAGCUGAACGGGGCGGCAAAUUUGCGUUGAUUUUUUAGCAUGUAUUGAAUUGAGAUGUUUAACUAGAAUAACAAAUUUAGUUGUUGAUACUUUUCCAAUUGUUUGUUAAAACGCUGUCGCUGGAAAAUCGAACUCUCCACCACAAACACACACACACACAACAAAGUAAUACACCACAAUAAAACACCCAACCACACGCGAAGUAAAAUCAAAUUCUUGUGAUUAAAGUGCAUUUCUAUACGUACGUUAAACUACAACUAUUCACACCCACGCAAUAUAUUAAACGCAUCGAAAGUCGUCGGCCCAGAUCAAAAGUCUAUAUAAUCGCAUCAGGCGGCAGUCGACAGUCGGCAGACUUUCAAUAUAAAUCCAACAAUCGGCUGAAAACACACAAAAUAGCAGUUGCAACGCGACUCUAUGAAGAUGGAAGUGCUCUCAGUACAAAAUCACAUUCAGGGAAAAUUCGGUGUUAAUAAAAUUAAAGACUGGCAAGCUGCAACGGCGCCGCUGGAGGAGGAGGAGGAGCUGAACGCGGGCGUGAACGGAAAUACAGCCGCCGGAGAAGGCAUUCUGGACGUCGACGUGGUAGAUGGCCAUCCAGCCUCUGUGCUCCACAUGCGGCAGCACCAGGCGCUCAACACCCGCCCACCGGCCACGCCUCCGUCGGCAGGGGGCGGUGGUCCGUUGGCGGGCGGAGGAUCCGUCGGAAUGACCACUCCCAAGCAGGCCACGUCGCCGGUGGCCGCGGCCAGCUUUGAGGCGCCCCUAACCGGAGGCAGUGCAGCCGCCUAUCAUCACGCCUACAUGACCAACGUGCUGUCCAGUACCGCCCAGCAGCACCACCCACUGCCCGCAUCGCCGCUGCAGUCGACAGCCGGCGCUCGAUUUGGGGCCGCCGACAACCUGGACGAUGUGAGCGCCACCGCGGUGCGGGAACUGUCGCAGCAACUGCAGGCCCAGCUACGGGACGCCAAGCGACGCCACCUGGCCUGCACCGAGGUCACGCUGCCCAACGACCUCACGCAGCGCAUUGCCGCCGAGAUCAUCCGGAUGUCGGAGCGGGAACCAUGCGGCGAGCGGGCCUGUACGCUCUUCAUUGAGUUCGAGAGCGAGCCCAACAAAGUCAAGCGCAUUGCAUACUUUAAGGUGGAUCCGGACACGGUGUCCAUCUUCGAGUUGUACUUGACGUUGAGGCAGGACAAGAGCGGCUGGAGCUCCUUGGUGCCGCAGUUUAUAAAAAACCUUACUCGUAGCAAUACCAUCAACAUCAGUCCCGAUUUCACGCUGACCAAGAAAAAGCUCUACUCAUCCGAGUGAGUCGCUUGACGGAGGAGCGGCAUGGAGUGCGAACCAGAAUCGCUGGGCUGCUCAGAACUCAAUCCCUCCGAACAACAACAGUAACAGCAGCAAUCGCAAUACCAACAUCUAUUGGUUGUGCCUCCUUCGUCGCAAUAGCCAAGAUUCAUGAUCUUCAUUAUGGAAUAUAGAGAGAUGAUGUUGAACCCUAGAGGCAAACUUUUGGACCACAAACUAUCAACUUACUCCUGCAAAUAACAAAUCAACUCAACGCUAAAGCAAAAACAAUUAUUUUGGAACCUAAGCUCUAAAACAAAACCAAAAAAACCAAAACGAAAACAAAUCAACUGCAGUUGCAGGCAACUCAAAACUCUUAUUGGACUGACUUUUUGGCUUAAACAAAAAAGAGUUCCAAACUUUGCGAGGAAAAUGUAGCCGAGUGGCUGAAUACAAUAUAUACAUAUAUAGAUAUAUAUGAAAAAUAUAAUUCUAAUAUUUGAUGUGUUUCUAAUGUAAGAUUUUAAUAUUAAACAAGCAAAACGAAAACAACAACAAGCGAAACUAAACUAAAAUCCAGCAGAUUUCAUUCGAUGUGCGUAGCUGUGUGUUUAUCUGUAGAUUAGUUAACAACAAACAAAUGAAAACAACCAACCAACAAUAACAACACGAUAUGACAAACAAAUUUGAUGAGAAAGACGAUGAUUAUCGAUAGAAAGGGUUAUAAUAUUUAACUUAUAUACACGAAUGAAUGCAUUUUGGCUAGGUAGUUGGCAAACAAAUUGUUUUGAUUAACGAAAGAUCUAAGCAGUAAAAUUAUUUAUAAAAAGGAGCGAAAAAAUUAUUAAAAAAAUGGGUAACUAUUGUGAAGAGGCAGAAGCAAAAACUUUCGGAAAAUAUAAAGUCAUCUGUGUUAAUAAAUUUUAAAAUAUUUUUUAGCGUAGAAUAACAAAACCAUGAAGUGAAAUUGUAAAGCAAAGCAAAAUUAACAAAAUCUGUUGAAAAUAACAGAUAAAGCAAAUAAUGCUCUCACAUAAGCCACAAAAAAAUACAACCAAUCCCAAGUAUUCGAAAUGUUAAUUGUAGAUUUUAUUCGUGCAUAACCUACACAAACACACACACACAAACACACAGUGGCUAACAAGAAUUUAUUUAUAAAACCAAGAAAUACAAAAAAACAUUUGCAAUAAUAUAAUUUUAACUAACAAAUACUUUUUCCAUCAAUAAUCAAUCCCACAAAGAUCUCGACUAAUAAGAUGAAGAACUCAUUAUAUGAUAAACGAUAGAGCGGAAGGAAAAUUACACAAAAGGAAAUACAAUUUAGGUAUUAAAAACUUGCUUUAAACUUAUUUAGGCUAAACCAGGUGUAAAGGCCAAGAGUAAAGAGCCCCCUAACGAAUAAUAAAUGUUUUAGCCAUCUCAAACUCAAGUAUCGACGUUUCCAUCUCCAUUCGAUCACUAAACACACUCACACACAUGAGCAUAUGCUAUAUGCAUAUAUUUAGAUAUAUAGAUAUAUAGUGUAUGUAAAUAGGGCCACCGUAGCAGCAAUAAAUGGGAAGAAAACAAAAUCUCUAAAUAUACCUUAUUAACUAACUAAAUGUGAACAUAAACAAAGCAAGUGAAGAAAUAGAACCAUGAAUGUGAUCUAUUUAAUAAUAAACAAAGUAAUAUUAAAUACAAUUUAAUUUGCCUAAAGCAUGAACGAAAUAUUGAAAUGAUUUACUUUUGUUCCAUUUACGAAAUUAUUAACCAAGUAGUUGUAGACGAAUUUGAUUUGUAGAAUUUUCAAUAUCAUUUGCCGAACAGUUUUCCAUGAUAAUUGGUUACAGUUUUUCUUCGCAAUGUUGCCAGCUUUGUAAGAUUGUAGAAUUCGCAACGCUUUCUGUGUGGUUUUCUUGAGCUUUUUUUUGAAAUCAAAUAACGAAUAUUGUAUUUUGAAGUAGUGAAACUAUCUCCAGUUUUCGGAGGAUUUUUCUGUUACGUUUUCCAUGGAUAAGUGUAAACUGUAUAGAGAUACAAAGAAGAAAUGAAUCUUAGAUCUGUCCAGUGCUCCUCAAAGUAUUUUGUAAACAAUAAUGAUAAACCAAAAACAAAAGCGAAGUAUCAAGCCCAUAGGCAAGCGGAUAUGAAUAUGUAUUUAUGCAAGGGUUAUGCGAAAAGUUCUAUAUAUGAAUGUAAAAUAGAUGGAUAUAUCUAUAUAUAUUGUAGAAUUUUUACACAUUCUAUUACAGACUACAAAGUUACCGACUAAGGCAAAUAUUAUGACUACUACUACGGCAGUACUAAUGUAUAUUUUCAAUGUAUGUGUGUGUGUUGUUUAAGGGAACCAAUUAAUGCAUUCAAGAAUCAAAUUACAAAUCAAUUAAACGAUCGCCUCAAAUGAAAUCGAAAGCAAAUAACUCUAACCUACAAUACUAGACAGCACCCGGACCCAAAUUUAAAUUAUAUCUGCAUUCCAAUUGCGACCGAAAUCAGUAUGGCAUCUUUGAUUAUCGAAAGGAAGUUAAAUUCAAACGAUUAUCCCACCAUAUGCAAUCUGAGCCAGAUUUCAUUAUCAUUUUUCAAUUUUUAAGUUCGAGUUUCAGAAUCUGCUUUCAUUGGCGGCCACGCUCAAUCAGUAUCAGUUAUGAGAACUCCUAGAGUCCGAUUCCCUCCCGAAUUUUGUCCAGUUCAAAUCUGCGCUUGUUUGAUCAACAACUUAACAAAAUAAUAUUCAAGGGAAUGAAAAUUGUUCUAAAUACCGUUGAGAGAAGUGUGUUGUAGUUAUGGGACGAAGAAAUGUUUAUAACAAUUUCCAUUAUAUGUAUGUGGCAAUAGGUCCAUAACGAAUAACAAGUCUAAAGCGAGAUCUGAAACGAAAGAAUGAGAAGGAAAAAUAAAACAAAAAAAAAUAUAUAGAUAUUAUAUAUGUAUACCAUAUACUACCUAUAUGAUUAUGAGUGUAUGUAAUGAAACAAAUGAAAAUAAAACAAAUUUAAAUUUUAGUAGCGCUUAACAAAUUCUAGCAAUUUAACAAAUUU
rnacentral:misc_RNA from 1 species